rnacentral:rRNA from 1 species
GUCUGGCUCAGGACGAACGCUGGCGGCGUGCCUAUUACAUGCAAGUCGAGCGGACCGAAGGGAGCUUGCUCCUUUANGUUAGCGGCGGACGGGUGAGUAACACGUGGGCAACCUGCCCUGCAGACUGGGAUAACUUCGGGAAACCGGAGCUAAUACCGGAUAACACCGAAAACCGCAUGGUUUUCGGUUGAAAGGCGGCUUUUAGCUGUCACUGCAGGAUGGGCCCGCGGCGCAUUAGCUAGUUGGUGAGGUAACGGCUCACCAAGGCGACGAUGCGUAGCCGACCUGAGAGGGUGACCGGCCACACUGGGACUGAGACACGGCCCAGACUCCUACGGGAGGCAGCAGUAGGGAAUCUUCCGCAAUGGACGAAAGUCUGACGGAGCAACGCCGCGUGAGCGAAGAAGGUCUUCGGAUCGUAAAGCUCUGUUGUCAGGGAAGAACAAGUACCGUUCGAACAGGGCGGUACCUUGACGGUACCUGACGAGGAAGCCACGGCUAACUACGUGCCAGCAGCCGCGGUAAUACGUAGGUGGCAAGCGUUGUCCGGAAUUAUUGGGCGUAAAGCGCGCGCAGGCGGUUCCUUAAGUCUGAUGUGAAAUCUCGCGGCUCAACCGCGAGCGGCCAUUGGAAACUGGGGAACUUGAGUGCAGGAGAGGGGAGCGGAAUUCCACGUGUAGCGGUGAAAUGCGUAGAGAUGUGGAGGAACACCAGUGGCGAAGGCGGCUCUCUGGCCUGUAACUGACGCUGAGGCGCGAAAGCGUGGGGAGCGAACAGGAUUAAAAUACCCCUGGUAAUCCCCNGCGUAAACGGAUGAAUGCUAAGUUGUUAGAGGGGUAUCCUCCCUUUUAUUGCUGCAGCAACNGCAUUAAACCNCUCCGCCCUGGGGGAGUACGGCCCCCAGGCUUGAAAAUUCCAAAGGAAUUGA